rnacentral:misc_RNA from 1 species
GAUGAAGAACGUAGCGAAAUGCGAUAAGUAGUGUGAAUUGCAGAAUUCAGUGAAUCAUCGAAUCUUUGAACGCACAUUGCGCCCCUUGGUAUUCCAUGGGGCAUGCCUGUUCGAGCGUCAUUUGUACCUUCAAGCUUUGCUUGGUGUUGGGUGUUUGUCUCGCCUUUGCGUGUAGACUCGCCUCAAAAUAAUUGGCAGCCGGCGUAUUGAUUUCGGAGCGCAGUACAUCUCGCGCUUUGCACUCAUAACGACAGCGUCCAAAAGUACAUUUUACACUCUUGACCUCGGAUCAGGUAGGGAUACCCGCUGAACUUAAGCAUAUCAAUAAGCGGAGGA